AUUGAACGCUGGCGGCAUGCCUAACACAUGCAAGUCGCGCGGGCUGUAGCAAUACAGUUAGCGGCGGACGGGUGAGGAAUACAUAGGAAUUUGCCUCAGAGCGGGGGAUAGCCCAGGGAAACUUGGAGUAAUACCGCAUGAUGUCGAAAGACCAAAGCUGGGGACCGCAAGGCCUAGCACUCUGAGAGAAGCCUAUGUCUGAUUAGCUAGUUGGUAGGGUAAUGGCCUACCAAGGCGACGAUCAGUAACUGGUCUGAGAGGACGAUCAGUCACACUGGAACUGAGACACGGUCCAGACUCCUACGGGAGGCAGCAGUGGGGAAUAUUGGACAAUGGGCGCAAGCCUGAUCCAGCAAUGCCGCGUGUGUGAAGAAGGCCUUCGGGUUGUAAAGCACUUUAAGCAGGGAAGAAAACGCUCAAGCUAAUAUCUUGAGUCUUGACGGUACCUGAAGAAUAAGCACCGGCUAACUCUGUGCCAGCAGCCGCGGUAAUACAGAGGGUGCGAGCGUUAAUCGGACUUACUGGGCGUAAAGCGUGUGUAGGGUGGUUGUGCAAGUCGGUUGUGAAAUCCCUGGGCUCAACCUGGGAACUGCUUCCGAGACCGCUCGACUAGAGUACGGUAGAGGGCGGUGGAAUUUCCGGUGUAGCGGUGAAAUGCGUGGAUAUCGGAAGGAACACCAAUGGCGAAGGCAGCCGCCUGGGCCUGUACUGACACUGAGACACGAAAGCGUGGGGAUCAAACAGGAUUAGAUACCCUGGUAGUCCACGCCGUAAACGAUGGUACUUGACGUCGGCAUGCUCUGCGUGUCGGUGUCGUAGCUAACGCGAUAAGUACCCCGCCUGGGGAGUACGGCCGCAAGGUUGAAACUCAAAGGAAUUGACGGGGGCCCGCACAAGCGGUGGAUGAUGUGGUUUAAUUCGAUGCAACGCGAAAAACCUUACCCACCUUUGACAUGUACGGAAGUCGCUAGAGAUAGCUUCGUGCUCGAAAGAGAACCGUAACACAGGUGCUGCAUGGCUGUCGUCAGCUCGUGUCGUGAGAUGUUGGGUUAAGUCCCGCAACGAGCGCAACCCUUGUCAUUAGUUGCUACAUUCAGUUGGGCACUCUAAUGAGACUGCCGGUGACAAACCGGAGGAAGGUGGGGAUGACGUCAAGUCCUCAUGGCCCUUAUAGGUGGGGCUGCACACGUCAUACAAUGGCUGGUACAAAGGGUUGCCAACCCGCGAGGGGGAGCUAAUCCCAUAAAACCAGUCGUAGUCCGGAUCGCAGUCUGCAACUCGGCUGCGUGAAGUCGGAAUCGCUAGUAAUCGUGGAUCAGAAUGUCACGGUGAAUACGUUCCCGGGUCUUGUACACACCGCCCGUCACACCAUGGGAGCGGGUCUCGCCAGAAGUAGUUAGCCUAACCGCAAGGGGGGCGAUUACCACGGCGGGGUUCGUGACUGGGGUG
rnacentral:rRNA from 1 species